UACGUAGGGGGCAAGCGUUGUCCGGAUUUAUUGGGCGUAAAGAGCUCGUAGGUGGUUCGGUAAGUCGGAUGUGAAAUCUCCAGGCUCAACCUGGAGGGGUCAUUCGACACUGCCGUGACUAGAGGUCGGUAGGGGAGUGUGGAAUUCCUGGUGGAGCGGUGAAAUGCGCAGAUAUCAGGAGGAACACCCGUAGCGAAGGCGGCACUCUGGGCCGAUACUGACACUGAGGAGCGAAAGCGUGGGGAGCGAACAGG
rnacentral:rRNA from 1 species